rnacentral:rRNA from 1 species
UACGUAGGGGGCAAGCGUUGUCCGGAAUUAUUGGGCGUAAAGAGCGCGUAGGCGGUCCGAUAAGUCGGCUGUGAAAGUCCAGGGCUCAACCCUGGAAAGCCGGCCGAUACUGUCGGACUAGAGUCCGGAAGAGGCAAGUGGAAUUCCCGGUGUAGCGGUGAAAUGCGCAGAUAUCGGGAGGAACACCAAUGGCGAAGGCGGGUCUCUGGGCAGUAACUGACGCUGAUGCACGAAAGCUAGGGGAGCAAACAGG